rnacentral:snRNA from 1 species
AUACUUAACCUCGCUAGGGGAGAACACCAUGAUCAAGCAGGUGUUUUCCCAGGCGAGCUCAUCCUUUGCACUCCGGGUGGCUGACACCUGCGAUUUCCCCAAAUGCGGGAAACUCGACUGCCAUAAUUUGUGGUUAGGCUGGGGGACUUGCGUUCGCGCUCUCCCCUG